rnacentral:miRNA from 1 species
UGACCCCGUUCUCCUCGCCGG